rnacentral:lncRNA from 1 species
CACAAACACUGAGGAGCAAAGCAACCUUCUGACUGACCUCACUACCCAGGUCAGUGUCUGCUGAUGCUGUGUGAAUGAUAUCAUGAUGUUACGGAAGUCGGGGGAGAGGAGUUGGUCAUGGUGAUGUUUCAAAGCCAGAGCCACACACAUCCUGAGUUUCUGCUUUCUUAUAGACAGUUUCAAGCUGUCAUGAAUAUGCAUAGAUGUUGAAGGGUGUAUUUCGCUUUGGAGAUGGUUCAUGUAUAAUGGCAGUGAGGUAUUCCUCUCGGAAAUGCUCAUCAAGGGCCUGCUUUUCUUUAUGAGCCAACACGCUUCUUUCAUCACAGCUCUUGUCACGAAGCUGCGGCUGUCUUUGCUCACUCUACCUGCGGAGCAUUCACCAUCGGAAGGCAGGUUGGCACCCUCCUCAGGACCUUUGUGUGUUUCUCUAAGGCUUCGCCUUUUACCUACAGACCACGAUGUCUCGCAUUCAUUGGUUUUGACUACAAAAAGCUGUGGAAGAGCUGCAUGA